rnacentral:misc_RNA from 1 species
AACUUUCGGCAACGGAUCUCUUGGUUCCCGCAUCGAUGAAGAACGCAGCGAAAUGCGAUAAGUAAUGUGAAUUGCAGAAUUCAAUGAAUCAUCGAAUCUUUGAACGCACAUUGCGCCCCUUGGUAUUCCGAGGGGCAUGCCUGUUCGAGCGUCAUUGCAGAAUCUCUCAAGCCUGGCUUGGUGUUGGGUCUUCGUCCAUCCAUCCUCCUCCCUCCGCUGCUCAAGUGGUGGGGAGGGGGACCUGGACGUACCUGAAAAUUAGUGGCGGUGCCCCAUGAUGGCCUCAAGCGUAGCAGACUCUCUCUCGCUUUGGAUGUGCCUGUCAUGUAGCUCACCAGCUUUGUUAUCUUUCAACUAAAGGUUUGACCUCGGAUCAGGUAGGGAUACCCGCUGAACUUAAGCAUAUCAAUAAGCGGAGGCU